rnacentral:rRNA from 1 species
UGAGGAAUAUUGGGCAAUGCCCGCAAGGGUGACCCAGCAACGCCGCGUGGAGGAUGAAUGUCCUAAGAUUGUAAACUCCUGUUAGAGGGGAAGAAUAGUACCGGUUGGACCGGUAUAUGACUGUACCCUCAGAGAAAGCCCCGGCUAACUACGUGCCAGCAGCCGCGGUAAUACGUAGGGGGCAAGCGUUGUCCGGAUUUACUGGGUGUAAAGGGCGCGCAGGCGGGAUAAAAAGUCAGUGGUGAAAUCCUACAGCUUAACUGUAGAACUGCCUUUGAUACUUUUAUUCUUGAGUUCGGGAGAGAGAGAGACGGAAUUCCAGGUGUAGUGGUGAAAUACGUAGAUAUCUGGAAGAACACCAGUUGCGAAGGCGGUCUCUUGGUCCGACACUGACGCUGAGGCGCGAAAGCGUGGGGAGCAAACA